GAUGAACGCUGGCGGCGCGCCUAACACAUGCAAGUCGAACGGACGAUGAAAAGCUUGCUUUUCAAAGUUAGUGGCGGACGGGUGAGUAACGCGUGGGUAACCUGCCUCAUACAGGGGAAUAGUAGCUGGAAACGGCUGAUAAAACCGCAUAAGCGCACAGUGCCGCAUGGCACAGUGUGAAAAACUCCGGUGGUAUGAGAUGGACCCGCGUCUGAUUAGCUAGUUGGCGGGGUAACGGCCCACCAAGGCGACGAUCAGUAGCCGGCCUGAGAGGGUGACCGGCCACAUUGGGACUGAGACACGGCCCAAACUCCUACGGGAGGCAGCAGUGGGGAAUAUUGCACAAUGGGGGAAACCCUGAUGCAGCGACGCCGCGCGAAGGAAGAAGUAUCUCGGUAUGUAAACUUCUAUCAGCAGGGAAGAUAAUGACGGUACCUGACUAAGAAGCCCCGGCUAACUACGUGCCAGCCGCCGCCGUAAAAC
rnacentral:rRNA from 1 species